CAAAAGCGGUGAGUGAGGACUUCUACCUGCGACCUAAGUGAACACGUUGCUGCGACUCUAUACUUCCUGCGUUUCGAAGGCAAAAUGGCUCGCCGAACCUGUUCGAACACCUCUGGGGCUACAAACUACAAAUUCAAGCACGUUGGAUGCAUACUCAAUAGGAUCCAGGUCUGGUGAUUGACUCAGCCAAUCACGAACAUCCCAUUUUUUGGCUCUGAAGAACUCCUUGGUUACUUUAGCAGUAUGUUCGGGGUCACUGUGCUGCUGCAAGGUGAAGCAUCUUGCGGUGAAUGGACUGAGGUGGCGCUGGUGUAGUCUCCUCAGUAUGGUAAUCUUUGACACAUCUAUGCCUGCAUCCUGGACAGUGUUCUUGAUACACUUGACAGUCAAAAACGUGUUUUUCUUCUGAAAAAAUAUUUUUGUUCAUCCACUGUAGUGGUCUAUUGCUGAGAUCCCCAGUGUGUUCUUGCUUCUUAACAAUGUACCAAACUGUUGAUUUUGACUUUGGCUAUGUCUGAUUGAUCUACUCAGCUUCAUGAUGGCUUGCUUUACUGCCAUUGACACUUCUGUGUGUGUGUGUGUGUGUGUGUGCGCUCACACACACAUAACAUGGUUUGUGAGCUAGGUCUUCUUUUCAAAAUUACUGUGAGCCACUGCAUGUGUAAUCUGGGAAUUUGCAUGUGACCACAUGAUGACACUUGGCAUUUAGAUUUCACUCAUAUCUGCACAAAGAAUCUGGUAUCUGUGUUUCCCUUUUUUACAGUCACGGCAGAGAAACGUGUCACCUGCUUUGGCUUUAAAAUGUGCUCAUGUGAACUUGGCUUUUGAGAUCGAGAGGAAAAGAAAACAGAGUGAUAGAAGAAGUUAGUAAUGGGAAAAAAAUGUAAUUAAUUGAAUGUGAAUUACUCACGUUUCACGUUAAUCGGCCUUUUGCGAUAGAUAAGCACGUGGCCGAGGGCGUGUUUAAGAUCCCAGAGUUUGACUGAAGGAGAACGCCAUGCUCCUAAAACCUCAAAUCUUCUCCUUCCUGUUAAGGAAGUGUGUGUUACUAGGUAGAAAAGACUUCCUGCAGUUUGUAUGGUUGAUCAGGUACACCUAUAAAGGCACCUACCUCUAGUGUGACUUGCUCUCGC